rnacentral:rRNA from 1 species
GAGUUAUCUGAACCUUCGGGGAACGAUAACGGCGUCGAGCGGCGGACGGGUGAGUAAUGCCUAGGAAAUUGCCCUGAUGUGGGGGAUAACCAUUGGAAACGAUGGCUAAUACCGCAUAAUACCUUCGGGUCAAAGAGGGGGACCUUCGGGCCUCUCGCGUCAGGAUAUGCCUAGGUGGGAUUAGCUAGUUGGUGAGGUAAUGGCUCACCAAGGCGACGAUCCCUAGCUGGUCUGAGAGGAUGAUCAGCCACACUGGAACUGAGACACGGUCCAGACUCCUACGGGAGGCAGCAGUGGGGAAUAUUGCACAAUGGGCGCAAGCCUGAUGCAGCCAUGCCGCGUGUGUGAAGAAGGCCUUCGGGUUGUAAAGCACUUUCAGUCGUGAGGAAGGUAGUGUAGUUAAUAGCUGCAUUAUUUGACGUUAGCGACAGAAGAAGCACCGGCUAACUCCGUGCCAGCAGCCGCGGUAAUACGGAGGGUGCGAGCGUUAAUCGGAAUUACUGGGCGUAAAGCGCAUGCAGGUGGUUUGUUAAGUCAGAUGUGAAAGCCCGGGGCUCAACCUCGGAAUAGCAUUUGAAACUGGCAGACUAGAGUACUGUAGAGGGGGGUAGAAUUUCAGGUGUAGCGGUGAAAUGCGUAGAGAUCUGAAGGAAUACCGGUGGCGAAGGCGGCCCCCUGGACAGAUACUGACACUCAGAUGCGAAAGCGUGGGGAGCAAACAGGAUUAGAUACCCUGGUAGUCCACGCCGUAAACGAUGUCUACUUGGAGGUUGUGGCCUUGAGCCGUGGCUUUCGGAGCUAACGCGUUAAGUAGACCGCCUGGGGAGUACGGUCGCAAGAUUAAAACUCAAAUGAAUUGACGGGGGCCCGCACAAGCGG